AACGAACGCUGGCGGCACGCUUAACACAUGCAAGUCGAACGAAGUAGCAAUACUUAGUGGCGGACGGGUGAGUAACGCGUAGGAACCUGCCUAUGGGUGGGGGAUAACUUUGGGAAACUAAAGCUAAUACCCCAUAAGUCGGAGACGAGAAAGGCGAAAGCAGCCGCUAGAUGGGCCUGGGUAAGAUUAGGUAGUUGGUGGGGUAAUGGCCUACCAAGCCGAUGAUCUUUAGCUGGUUUGAGAGGAUGAUCAGCCACACUGGGACUGAGACACGGCCCAGACUCCUACGGGAGGCAGCAGUGGGGAAUAUUGGACAAUGGGGGAAACCCUGAUCCAGCGAUGCCGCGUGAGUGAAGAAGGCCUUCGGGUUGUAAAGCUCUUUUGGUAGGGAAGAUAAUGACGGUACCUACAGAAUAAGCUCCGGCUAACUUCGUGCCAGCAGCCGCGGUAA
rnacentral:rRNA from 1 species